rnacentral:rRNA from 1 species
GACGAACGCUGGCGGCGUGCUUAACACAUGCAAGUCGUACGAGACGAUUGAAAGCUUGCUUUUGAAAGUCGAGUGGCAAACGGGUGAGUAACGCGUAGACAACCUGCCGUAAAGAUGGGGACAACAGUUCGAAAGGACUGCUAAUACCGCAUGAUGCAGCUGGGUCGCAUGACCCUGGCUGCCAAAGAUUUAUCGCUCUGAGAUGGCCUCGCGUCUGAUUAGCUAGUAGGCGGGGUAACGGCCCACCUAGGCGACGAUCAGUAGCCGGACUGAGAGGUUGACCGGCCACAUUGGGACUGAGACACGGCCCAG